CUUAACCACUAAACAACGGAGUUGAACCAUGGAGAAAACCCUUGAAAGAAGGAAACCGUUGAAAGGCUUUUAGUCGCAUCAAAGUUCAACAAACCUAAAUUUCCCACUAAUGUAGUAUAGGGGAAACCUAGGGUGUAAUCCGUGGACUUGGUACUUGUUAAGAUAAAAUUGUAGAAUUUAACUUAAUUAAUAUUUACUAAAACUAGGCGGGGAAAAUAAAAAAAAAAUAAAAAUAAAUACUACCUAUUGAUAUGAGUCAGAUGCAAUGAGAAAAAAAUAUGUAAAACCUAAUAAGCAAAAGCCUAAAGUUACACUAUUAUUCUGUUAUAAAAAGAAGAAAGAAAAAAAUUUACUAAUGUAAGAACCGAAACAUGCAAAUCAUGAAAAUGAAUGCAAUGCAUGAAACAUGGAAACAAUACAAAAUACCUAUAUACAUGGUCUAGAAAAUAAAAGCUCAAUGUACUUAAUCUGGAACUUGAUAUAACAGAACAAAUUGAAAGGAAACAAAGGAUGUUAUCAUUCAAAUCAACCUAAGAUCUUUAGAAUGGACA
rnacentral:lncRNA from 1 species